AGAAUCAACGCUGGCGGCGUGCCUAACACAUGCAAGUCGCACGAGAAAGGGACUUCGGUCCUGAGUACAGUGGCGCACGGGUGAGUAACACGUGAAUCAUCUACCUCCGAGUGGGGAAUAACUGAGAGAAAUCUUAGCUAAUACCGCAUAACACUUACGAGUCAAAGCAGCAAUGCGCUUGGAGAGGAGUUCGCGGCAGAUUAGUUAGUUGGCGGGGUAAUGGCCCACCAAGACGAUGAUCUGUAUCCGGCCUGAGAGGGCGCACGGACACACUGGAACUGAAACACGGUCCAGACUCCUACGGGAGGCAGCAGUGGGGAAUUUUGCGCAAUGGGGGAAACCCUGACGCAGCAACGCCGCGUGGAGGAUGAAAUCCCUUGGGAUGUAAACUCCUUUCGAUCGGGAAGAUAAUGACGGUACCGAGAGAAGAAGCCCGGCUAACUUCGCGCCAGCAGCCGC
rnacentral:rRNA from 1 species